CUACGGGUGGCAGCAGUGGGGAAUAUUGGACAAUGGGGGAAACCCUGAUCCAGCAAUGCCGCGUGUGUGAAGAAGGCCUGCGGGUUGUAAAGCACUUUCGGUUGGGAGGACUGCUUCUAGCACUAAUAUUGUUGGAAGUUGACGUUACCUUCAGAAGAAGCACCGGCUAACUCCGUGCCAGCAGCCGCGGUAAUACGGAGGGUGCAAGCGUAAAUCGGAAUCACUGGGCGUAAAGCGCGCGUAGGCGGCUAGAUCAGUCGGGUGUGAAAGCCCCGGGCUUAACCUGGGAACUGCAUCCGAUACUGUCUAGCUUGAGUACAGGAGAGGAGAGUGGAAUUCCACAUGUAGCGGUGAAAUGCGUAGAUAUGUGGAGGAACACCAAUGGCGAAGGCAGCUCUCUGGCCUGAUACUGACGCUGUGGUGCGAAAGCGUGGGGAGCAAACAGGAUUAGAUACCCCGGUAGUC
rnacentral:rRNA from 1 species